rnacentral:misc_RNA from 1 species
AUAUAUAUUACAUUUGAAGAACACUGUGUAGAUGGUGACAACCAAUCAAAGCGAGUAUACAAUAGAGUUCAUUUCAAAUAUUUCUAUCUAAUUUUCGCGGUUCUUUAGUCGGUAACAAUAGCAGAGUUUAGGAAGAAAUUAAAAAAAUGGCGCGAGAUAAUGAAACCGAUGAAAUGAUGGAAGUUGAGGUUUUACCAUCUACGAGUGGAUAUAAUUCAAAAAGUAAAGAACAAUCCAAUAAAUCUUGUGAUUUACCUUGGAUUGAGAAGUAUCGGCCACAAGUAUUUUCAGAUAUUGUUGGUAAUGAGGAUACUAUUGCUCGUUUAUCUGUCUUUGCACAACAUGGAAAUACACCAAAUAUUAUUAUCGCAGGACCACCUGGUGUAGGAAAAACUACAACUAUUUUAUGUUUGGCACACUUACUCUUAGGUACAUCUUUUAAAGAUGCUGUGCUAGAAUUAAAUGCAUCUAACGACAGAGGAAUUGAUGUUGUUAGAAAUAAGAUUAAAAUGUUUGCGCAAAAGAAAGUCAAUUUAACGAAAGGAAAACACAAAAUAGUCAUUUUGGAUGAAGCUGAUAGUAUGACUGAUGGAGCCCAACAAGCUCUUCGUCGUACAAUGGAAAUAUACAGCAAUACAACUAGAUUUGCAUUAGCUUGUAAUAAUAGCGAGAAGAUAAUUGAACCAAUACAAUCACGUUGUGCCAUGUUGAGAUAUGGGAAAUUAAGCGAUGCCCAAGUCUUGGCAAAAGUUAUAGAAGUUUGUCAAAAAGAAAAUGUUUCCUACACAGAUGAUGGCUUAGAAGCCAUAGUAUUUACCGCUCAAGGUGAUAUGAGGCAAGCGUUAAACAAUUUACAAUCUACACACAAUGGAUUUGGUCAUGUAAAUGGUACAAAUGUUUUUAAAGUAUGCGACGAACCGCAUCCUCUUUUGGUAAAGGAAAUGCUUGAAUUGUGUACGCAAGGAAAUAUUUGUAAAGCGUUUCAGAUAAUGCAACAUUUAUGGAAAUUGGGUUACUCCGCAGAAGAUAUUAUUGGAAAUAUAUUUCGUGUUUGUAAGAAUCUUCCUAUUGAAGAAAAAUUAAAAUUGGAAAUGGUAAAGGAAAUAGGAAUUACACAUUUAGGAAUUGUGAAUGGUAUUAAUAGUCUAUUACAAAUGAAUAGUCUGCUGGCCCGACUAUGUCAAAAACCUAUUUCAAAAUAAUGAAAACCUUAAAUUUAAGUGAAUUUAUAUGUAAAAGUUAUGAAAUCAAUAGUUUCAAGAUUACGAAAGAAUUGGUACGAGAAACAAAAAAGAAAUAAUAAAAGAAGAAAAAGCAAAUCGAA